rnacentral:rRNA from 1 species
AAAGGAAUUGACGGGGGCCCGCACAAGCAGCGGAGCAUGUGGUUUAAUUCGAAGCAACGCGAAAAACCUUACCAGAACUUGACAUCCCGCUGAAUAGUAUGGAGACAUACUAGGCUUACGUAAGUAAGACAGCGGUGACAGGUGGUGCAUGGUUGUCGUCAGCUCGUGUCGUGAGAUGUUGGGUUAAGUCCCGCAACGAGCGCAACCCUUAUUGUUAGUUACCAGCGGGUCAUGCCGGGAACUCUAACAAGACUGCCGUGGACAACACGGAGGAAGGUGGGGAUGACGUCAAAUCAUCAUGCCCCUUACGUUCUGGGCUACACACGUGCUACAAUGGUCUAAAACAAAGAGAUGCAAUACCGUAAGGUUCAGCAAACCUCACAAACUAGAUCUCAGUUCGGAUUGUGGGCUGCAACUCGCCCACAUGAAGCCGGAGUUGCUAGUAAUCGCGAAUCAGCAUGUCGCGGUGAAUGCGUUCCCGGGCCUUGUACACACCGCCCGU